GUAUGAUAAGACAUAUGUCAUCCAGAUAUGGGGCAGGCCUGGCAUAGAUGGCACUGUCUAUGUGAUGGCAUGCCACACCUGGCCCGAUUGUAGUUUGGUUUAUGUGGCGCAGGCCCAUAGAAAGCAGGUCUGGCCCGGAUCUGGCAUCAAGCUGGCUCUUCUGACUGACCAAUGUCAGGGCAGGGUGUAUGUCAACGAGAUGUGGGCCAUGCAUGAAGUUUUUUUUUUUUUUUAAUGUAUUUCAUUUAAUGUUUAACGUUUUAAUGUUUUCACUGUUAUAUUGUUUUCUUAUUUAUGGAUAUAUUUGUGCUGUGAUUGGGGGUCUGGCAAUGACGGCGCUAUUUAUGUUCCUAUUUUAGUUAGAAGACCCAAAUGCCAUGGUGCAACACUAUACUGCUAUGGUAGCCAACGUUUCAAAUGCAGGUUUGACAGGUUUGUGAGUGUACAUUUUAUCUAAAACCUAGCAACGGUUUACUCAUUUUUGUCAGCCGGUGGCUGUAGCUCUGGAGGUAGAGCGGCUUCUUGACAGGUUGGAAGGUUAGUGGUUCGAUUCCUGGCUCGUCCAGUCUGCGUGUCGUGAAUGUGUAUGAAUGUAGUUAGGAAGCACUCAGGUUAGAGAAAGUGUGUGAUUGGGACAAUGUGGCAUGUUGUAUAGAGCACUUUAAUUAAUCUGGGACAGUAGAAAAGUGCUAUAUGAGAAUCAGUCCAUUCACUGUCUGAACAGUUACUUUGCACUAUUAUGUUCUGGCACAUGUUGUUAUUACUUGAUUAAGGUACACAUUAGGUUGACAUCUGGGGCCAGAGCUGAAACUGUUCUGGGCCAGCACAGGACCACCUGUGUGUCUGCAACUGGCCCGUGGCUGCACACAAUUUACACAUGACCCACAUACCACAAAGAAUGACGCCCCUUUGGUGGCCCAGAUUAGGUUUGCUUUUUUUUUUUUUUUUGCCUGUCCCGUUUGGCUCUUUUGCCAUCAGAAUUAUUGUCUAAAGGCAAAGAAAGAUGCCCAACGGAUUUACUUUACCAAAUUGACCAUCCCAGCCUUGCCGUAAUGGUCCAUUUGAUUCACCUUUUAUUGUUUAUUUUAUUUUCACUUGCUGAAUACGGGACAGACUUGACUGGGGAAAGAAGGGGAGAAAGAAAGAGGGAAAGAGAAACAGCUGAGAAGAGGGACGGGGAAAAAGGACAAAAAACAAAAGAAAAAGAAAAUGCAUCUAUCGAUCACCUGGAUCACCUGUUGAGAAAGAAAAAAGAAAACAAGCAGAAGAGAACAAGAGUAAUAGAAUAAACAACAUCACAAUGAUAUAUGGGAAUAUGACAGUAAAUACUAAAUAUUAAACAUUAUUGUGCAGCACAUAAGAUCAACAGAACACAGUGUGCUUUGAGGUAGGAGCCAAAAAGGGUGUAGUUUGUGGGUGUGAUCACCCAUGUGUACACCUGUGAGCAUGGACGCGCUUGUUUUUUUAAAAGGUUCCUUCAUGUAAUGAUCUGCUAGAGGGUGUGGGGGGCCACAGCCCCGUCCUCCAGGGCAUGAAGCAGGUAUGGAGGAGAUCAAAACUCCAGACAUCCAGAGGCCCCCAGAACACAAGAGACCAAGGAAGACCAACAGAGGGGCAGCCGCGCCACUGUCCCAGAAAGAGCUGAGGAGAGUCCCAGAUGAGGGCUCACUCAGCAGCCGCGGAGCAGAAGCCAGGGGGACCAGCUGUGCCUGAGUGACCGAGCCCCAGGCCGAGAGGCCGGGGGCACCCCACCUCCGAAGUGGCCCG
ensembl:lncRNA